GAGGGGUUUCGUUCCAGGACUUGGUUGUGGGAGGGGUUUCGUUCCAGGACUUGGUUGUGGGAGGGGUUUCGUUCCAGGACUUGGUUGUGGGAGGGGUUUAGUUCCAGGACUUGGUUGUGGGAGGGGUUUAGUUCCAGGACUUGGUUGUGGGAGGGGUUUCGUUCCAGGACUUGGUUGUGGGAGGGGUUUAGUUCCAGGACUUGGUUGUGGGAGGGAUUUCGUUCCAGGACUUGGUUGUGGGAGGGGUUUAGUUCCAGGACUUGGUUGUGGGAGGGGUUUUGGGACAUAUAUUAUGGUAUGUUGGGGUGAGGGACUUAUCUACUGAGCGUAUAAUUAUUUGUGGGCGGAGAAACAGGGUGUUACAUGUAGUUCUCAACUCAUGCAAUGUGGCAAGUUCAGGUUGUGAACUAACCUGGUCUAGUCCUCCACCUGUGUUCAGGUUGGGAAUUAACCUGGUCUAGUCCUCUACCUGUGUUCAGGUUGUGAAUUAACCUGGUCUAGUCCUCUACCUGUGGUCAGGUUGUGAACUAACCUGGUCUAGUCCUCUACCUGUGUUCAGGUUGUGAAUUAACCUGGUCUAGUCCUCUACCUGUGUUCAGGUUGGGAAUUAACCUGGUCUAGUCCUCUACCUGUGUUCAGGUUGGGAACUAACCUGGUCUAGUCCUCUACCUGUGUUCAGGUUGGGAACUAACCUGGUCUAGUCCUCUACCUGUGUUCAGGUUGGGAACUAACCUGGUCUAAUCCUCUACCUGUGGUCAGGUUGUGAACUAACCUGGUCUAGUCCUCUACCUGUGGUCAGGUUGUGAAUUAACCUGGUCUAGUCCUCUACCUGUGGUCAGGUUGUGAACUAACCUGGUCUAGUCCUCUACCUGUGGUCAGGUUGUGAAUUAACCUGGUCUAGUCCUCUACCUGUGGUCAGGUUGGGAAUUAACCUGGUCUAGUCCUCUACCUGUGUUCAGGUUGGGAAUUAACCUGGUCUAGUCCUCUACCUGUGUUCAGGUUGGGAAUUAACCUGGUCUAGUCCUCUACCUGUGUUCAGGUUGGGAAUUAACCUGGUCUAGUCCUCUACCUGUGUUCAGGUUGGGAAUUAACCUGGUCUAGUCCUCUACCUGUGUUCAGGUUGGGAACUAACCUGGUCUAGUCCUCUACCUGUGUUCAGGUUGGGAAUUAACCUGGUCUAGUCCUCUACCUGUGUUCAGGUUGGGAAUUAACCUGGUCUAGUCCUCUACCUGUGUUCAGGUUGGGAACUAACCUGGUCUAGUCCUCUACCUGUGGUCAGGUUGGGAACUAACCUGGUCUAGUCCUCUACCUGUCUACAUGGUAAAGAUCUUGUGCUUGACAACAUUGCUUGAUUCAUUUGUGGUUCGACAUCAGUCUCUCUUGAUUGGAGGAGGCAGCAUCGAGCGGUUUUAGUCUGUAGCCAGGCGACUGACGGCAGGAGCAUUAGGGGAUAGUCCUGAUGGCGUCUUAUCGAUGGUGGGUUGGCGUGGUCGUUGUUCUGCUCCCCAAAUGGCACCCUAUUCCCUAUGAAGUACACUACUUUUAGACCAGAACCCUAUGGAGCUUGGUCAAACACCCGUGCACUAUGUAGGGAGU